rnacentral:lncRNA from 1 species
GAACGGGUCCUAGGGAUGCCAAAAUACGGAUAUUCAAAGUUUUAUUCGAACUUGAAUCUAAACGGGGCGGAUUUAUUAGAUGCUAAAUAGAUAUAAUUUUGGAUACGAAUAUUAAAAAGACGAAAACUCGACGGAUUUCGAUUCGGAUAUGGACCUUGUCCUUACAAAAUCCGAAGCCGACUCGUUCCGAAUCCAAAUUAAUAUUAUAUAUAAAUAUUUGAUGGUAUAUCUGAAUUUGUAUUUUAAUAAUGUAAUACAUUUUGAAAUAUGGUAAAGGGAAAUAAUUUGGGUUCGGGUUCGAAUUCAGAUUUUCGGAUUUUCGGAUUUUUGGUCGGAUUUAGAUUUGGAUAUAGAUUUUUAAAAUCCGUCGGAUUCGAAUUUGGGUUUGAGUUUCGGAUUCGAUAUUUGGUUUCGGAUUCGAGUUUUUGAAAACCAGCCCCCAAUUCGACCCGUUGACACUCCUAAAUGAGAGCAAUUUUUUAAUAAUUUUUUAAUAAGUCGGAACGGAUUAAAGGAAGAAAGGGGUUUCAUGCCUCCUGCUUUAUUUACUUGGCGGAUUAGGAUGGAUUCGAGGCGGUUUACAAUUUUUUAUAUUUUUAUUUCCACUUAUCACCCUAUUCAGUGUGGAUCGGGACAGAAGCUCUACCAGCCUAGAUCCAUUUGCAUCUCUCCCCAU